rnacentral:rRNA from 1 species
UACGUAGGGUGCGAGCGUUGUCCGGAAUUAUUGGGCGUAAAGAGCUCGUAGGCGGUGUGUCGCGUCGGCCGUGAAAACCUGCAGCUUAACUGUGGGCGUGCGGUCGAUACGGGCAUCACUGGAGUUCGGCAGGGGAGACUGGAAUUCCUGGUGUAGCGGUGAAAUGCGCAGAUAUCAGGAGGAACACCGGUGGCGAAGGCGGGUCUCUGGGCCGAUACUGACGCUGAGACGCGAAAGCGUGGGGAGCAAACAGG